CAAUUGGACUUCCUCAGGGACUUGGUGAAAACAAAUACAAUAAUAAUAGCAGCAGCAAUAAAAACUAUCCCUCCCACAGGCAUAUAGAAUUUUAGUAGAUACAGAUACUUAUAUCAAACUUACAGGAGAUCCAACUAAAAAAUUUAAUACCAUUCUUGGAUCCUUAUUGGAUCAAGCAUACAAAAAUGGUAUAAUUUCUAAAAACAAUAAGGAAUAUCUUUUCAAUAAUUUUCCAAUAAUACCCAUUUUUUAUUUUCUCCCUAAAUUACAUAAGAACCCAAUAACACCUCCAGGUAGGCCAAUCAUCAGUGGCAUUAAAGGACCACUCUAGGCACCCAGACCACUUCAGCUUAAUGAAGUGGUCUGGGUGCCAGGUCCAGCUAGGGUUAACCCAUUUUUUUAUAAACAUAGCAGUUUUAGAGAAACUGCUAUGUUUAUAAAUGGGUUAAUCCAGCCCUCAAAUCCUGUAGUGGCUGUCUCAUUGACAGCCGCUAGAGGCGCUUGCGUGAUUUUCCCUGUGAAAAUCAGAGUGAGAACACGCAGGCGUCCAUAGGAAAGCAUUGUAAAUGCUUUCCUAUGAGACCGGCUGAAUGCGCGUGCAGCUCUUGCCGCGCGUGCGCAUUCAGCCGAAAGGGAGGACAGGAGGAGGAUCGGAGGCGGAGAGCUCCCCGCCCGGCGCUGGAGAAAGGUAAGUUUUAACCCCUUUCCUCUCCCCAGAGCCGGGCUGGAGGGGGACCCUGAGGGUGGGGGCACCCUCAGGGCACUAUAGUGCCAGGAAAACGAGUAUAUUUUCCUGGCACUAUAGUGGUCUUUUAACUCUAUCUGCUCAUUUAUCUGAAUUUGCAGACCAUCAUCUUCAAAGAUAUGCUCAGGAAGCACCCUCUUAUUUAAAAGACACUGCUCAUGUUUUGAGAAUUGUGGAAGAUGUAGUCUGGGAACCAGAUUAUGUUUGGGUAACCAUAGAUGUUACCUCAAUAAUAAAGCACAAUAAGGGUUUAGUUGCAGUGGAAUGGAUCAUAGAGAGAGAUGAAAAUGUUUCAUUAAAUUUUCGUAAUUCAUUUUGAACAGUAUUCACUAUAUCCUUAAACAUAAUUACUUUUUCUUUGAUGACUCAUUCUAUCUCCAGACCGCUGGUACAGCCAUGGGGACCAGGUUCGCCCCCAGCUAUGCAAACAUAUAUAUGUGGGAUUGGGAAUCCAACCACAUAUGGAGUGGGCAUGGCGAACCUGGUCCUAUGGAAACGUUUUAUUGACAAUAUAAUAAUGAUCUGGCGAGGUUCACAAGAGGAACUACCAUUGUUUCUAGACUACAUCCAUCAAAUUCUGAAAUUCACAUAUGAAAUAAACACCACUACUAUCAAUUUUUAAGACCUAAGUCUCUUUAUAGAAAAUAAUCAGAUUCAAUCAAAAUGUUAUUUUAAAAAAAUGGAGGGUAACAGCUAUAUACAUAGAAAAAGCUGCCAUAAAGAUAAAUGGUUGGAAACAAUUCCAAAAAGUCAGUUAAUACGGGUCAGAAGAAACUGUACAAAAAAUUCAGACUAUAGAGAGCAAGCUAAGCAUUUGAAAAAUAAAUUUGUGGCAAAGAAAUAUGAAUCAACAUUGUUAGAUAAAGAAAUAAAAGAAAUAGAAAAAAAGAACAGGAGAGAUUUGAUAGUAUCUAACCCUAAAAGACCUUCCAAAAAUAAUUAAAAUUUUUCUUUCACCACACAAUACAAUACACAAAAUAGGAAAAUAAAAAAGAUUCUCAAUAAACAUUGGAACAUUUUGCGCAAAGAUCCCAUUUUGGGCAAAGUGUUACCGAAAAAAACACCAGUUAUUUUUAGGAGAACAAAAAAUUUGAGAAACUUAUUAGCACCCAGUUACGCAUUAAAAAUCCCACGUAAAGGUAUGACCUAUAAUAUCAGUGGUUUCAAUCCUUGUAACUCUUAUAAAGCAUAUAAAAAUCAAAAAUUCAUACAAAAGAGAGAAUUUAUGAGUUUCACCACAAAAGAAAGAUUUAAAAUAAAAUCCAACAUAAAUUGCAAUACAAGAAAUGUAGUGUACAUGCUACAAUGCCCAUGUGGGAAACAAUAUGUGGGAAGAACGUGUAGAAAGUUAAAAGAAAGAAUAUUAGAACAUCAGCAUAAUAUUAGAAAAAUUCAACCAAACAUAUAGUACCUUUACAUUGCAAUACUUGCAAUAAAUUUGAUUGGCGGAGUUUCACCUUCGUGGGCAUUGAGCGUGCGGACCACUACUGGAGAGGAGGGGAUUUAACCAAAAUGCUCUCACAGAGAGAAACCUUUUGGAUAAAUAAGUUAAAGACACUUCAACCCUUCAGUUUAAAUUUGGAUAUUGAUUUGUGGAGCUUUUUUGAAGAUUAAAUAAAUAUUUUUUUCUCUUUUUUGGAGUGUUUGGGGGAAUAUUGCACUCUUUCUUCAUUCUCAAACUAAGGAUUUUUUAUUUUUCAUUUUUUUUAUUUACUUAUUUUUUAUAUUUAUAUUUUCAUUUUUU